rnacentral:rRNA from 1 species
UAGGGAAUCUUCCGCAAUGGACGAAAGUCUGACGGAGCAACGCCGCGUGAGUGAUGAAGGCUUUCGGGUCGUAAAACUCUGUUGUUAGGGAAGAACAAGUACGAGAGUAACUGCUCGUACCUUGACGGUACCUAACCAGAAAGCCACGGCUAACUACGUGCCAGCAGCCGCGGUAAUACGUAGGUGGCAAGCGUUAUCCGGAAUUAUUGGGCGUAAAGCGCGCGCAGGCGGUUUCUUAAGUCUGAUGUGAAAGCCCACGGCUCAACCGUGGAGGGUCAUUGGAAACUGGGGAACUUGAGUG